rnacentral:rRNA from 1 species
GACGAACGCUGGCGGCGUGCCUAAUACAUGCAAGUCGAACGAACGGAUAAAGAGCUUGCUCUUUUGAAGUUAGUGGCGGACGGGUGAGUAACACGUGGGUAACCUGCCUCACAGCUGGGGAUAACAUCGAGAAAUCGAUGCUAAUACCGAAUGUGCUGAACAUCAUAAGAUGUUCAAGUGAAAGACGGUUUCGGCUGUCACUGUGAGAUGGACCCGCGCUGGAUUAGCUAGUUGGUAAGGUAAUGGCUUACCAAGGCGACGAUCCAUAGCCGACCUGAGAGGGUGAUCGGCCACAUUGGGACUGAGACACGGCCCAAACUCCUACGGGAGGCAGCAGUAGGGAAUCUUCGGCAAUGGACGAAAGUCUGACCGAGCAACGCCGCGUGAGCGAAGAAGGCCUUCGGGUCGUAAAGCUCUGUUGUUAGAGAAGAACAUGGGUGAGAGUAACUGUUCACCCCUUGACGGUAUCUAACCAGAAAGCCACGGCUAACUACGUGCCAGCAGCCGCGGUAAUACGUAGGUGGCAAGCGUUGUCCGGAAUUAUUGGGCGUAAAGCGCGCGCAGGCGGUCUCUUAAGUCUGAUGUGAAAGCCCCCGGCUCAACCGGGGAAGGUCAUUGGAAACUGGGAGACUUGAGGACAGAAGAGGAGAGUGGAAUUCCAAGUGUAGCGGUGAAAUGCGUAGAUAUUUGGAGGAACACCAGUGGCGAAGGCGGCUCUCUGGUCUGUUACUGACGCUGAGGCGCGAAAGCGUGGGGAGCAAACAGG